UAGGGAAUCUUCCACAAUGGGCGCAAGCCUGAUGGAGCAACACCGCGCGAGUGAAGAAGGGUUUCGGCUCGUAAAGCUCUGUUGUUAAAGAAGAACACGUAUGAGAGUAACUGUUCAUACGUUGACGGUAUUUAACCAGAAAGUCACGGCUAACUACGUGCCAG
rnacentral:rRNA from 1 species